rnacentral:rRNA from 1 species
UCCAGACUCCUACGGGAGGCAGCAGUGGGGAAUAUUGCACAAUGGGGGGAACCCUGAUGCAGCAAUGCCGCGUGGGUGAAGAAGCACUCCGGUGCGUAAAGCCCUGUCAGCAGGGAAGAAAAUGACAGUACCUGACCAAGAAGCCCCGGCUAACUACGUGCCAGCAGCCGCGGUAAUACGUAGGGGGCAAGCGUUAUCCGGAUUUACUGGGUGUAAAGGGAGCGUAGACGGCAGCGCAAGUCUGAAGUGAAAUCCCAUGGCUUAACCAUGGAACUGCUUUGGAAACUGUGCAGCUGGAGUGCAGGAGAGGUAAGCGGAAUUCCUAGUGUAGCGGUGAAAUGCGUAGAUAUUAGGAGGAACACCAGUGGCGAAGGCGGCUUACUGGACUGUAACUGACGUUGAGGCUCGAAAGCGUGGGGAGCAAACAGGAUUAGAUACCCUCGUAC